rnacentral:rRNA from 1 species
CCUACGGGAGGCAGCAGUGGGGAAUAUUGCACAAUGGGGGAAACCCUGAUGCAGCGACGCCGCGUGAGUGAAGAAGUAAUUCGUUAUGGAAAGCUCUAUCAGCAGGGAAGAAAAUGACGGUACCUGAGUAAGAAGCCCCGGCUAACUACGUGCCAGCAGCCGCGGUAAUACGUAGGGGGCAAGCGGUAUCCGGAUUUACGGGGGGUAAAGGGGGCGUAGACGGCAGUGCAAGGCUGGAGUGAAAGGCUGGGGGUCAACCCCCGGAGUGCUCUGGAAACUGUACGGCUGGAGUGCAGGAGAGGUAAGUGGAAUUCCUAGUGUAGCGGUGAAAUGCGUAGAUAUUAGGAGGAACACCAGUGGCGAAGGCGGCUUACUGGACUGUAACUGACGUUGAGGCUCGAAAGCGUGGGGAGCAAACAGGAUUAGAUACCCGGGUAGUC